rnacentral:rRNA from 1 species
GAUGAACGCUGGCGGCGUGCCUAACACAUGCAAGUCGAGCGAACAGAUGAGAAGCUUGCUUCUCUGAUGUUAGCGGCGGACGGGUGAGUAACACGUGGGUAACCUACCUAUAAGACUGGGAUAACUCCGGGAAACCGGGGCUAAUACCGGAUAAUAUUUUGAACCGCAUGGUUCAAUAGUGAAAGACGGAUUCGGCUGUCACUUAUAGAUGGACCCGCGCCGUAUCAGCUAGUUGGUAAGGUAACGGCUUACCAAGGCGACGAUACGUAGCCGACCUGAGAGGGUGAUCGGCCACACUGGAACUGAGACACGGUCCAGACUCCUACGGGAGGCAGCAGUAGGGAAUCUUCCGCAAUGGGCGAAAGCCUGACGGAGCAACGCCGCGUGAGUGAUGAAGGUCUUCGGAUCGUAAAACUCUGUUGUUAGGGAAGAACAAAUUUGUUAGUAACUGAACAAGUCUUGACGGUACCUAACCAGAAAGCCACGGCUAACUACGUGCCAGCCGCCGCAGUAA